GGAGAGGUGUCCGAGCGGUUUAAGGAGCUAGUCUUGAAAACUAGUGAUGCGAAAGCACCCAGAGUUCGAAUCUCUGCCUCUCCGCCA
rnacentral:tRNA from 2 species